UGAACGCUGGCGGCGUGCCUCAUACAUGCAAGUCGAGCGAACGGACGAGAAGCUUGCUUUUCUGAUGUUAGCGGCGGACGGGUGAGUAACACGUGGAUAACCUACCUAUAAGACUGGGAUAACUUCGGGAAACCGGAGCUAAUACCGGAUAAUAUUUUGAACCGCAUGGUUCAAAAGUGAAAGACGGUCUUGCUGUCACUUAUAGAUGGAUCCGCGCUGCAUUAGCUAGUUGGUAAGGUAACGGCUUACCAAGGCAACGAUGCAUAGCCGACCUGAGAGGGUGAUCGGCCACACUGGAACUGAGACACGGUCCAGACUCCUACGGGAGGCAGCAGUAGGGAAUCUACCGCAAUGGGCGAAAGCCUGACGGAGCAACGCCGCGUGAGUGAUGAAGGUCUUCGGAUCGUAAAACUCUGUUAUUAGGGAAGAACAUAUGUGUAAGUAACUGUGCACAUCUUGACGGUACCUAAUCAGAAAGCCACGGCUAACUACGUG
rnacentral:rRNA from 1 species